rnacentral:rRNA from 1 species
AUUGAACGCUGGCGGCAGGCCUAACACAUGCAAGUCGAACGGUAACAGGAAGAAGCUUGCUUCUUUGCUGACGAGUGGCGGACGGGUGAGUAAUGUCUGGGAAACUGCCUGAUGGAGGGGGAUAACUACUGGAAACGGUAGCUAAUACCGCAUAACGUCGCAAGACCAAAGAGGGGGACCUUCGGGCCUCUUGCCAUCGGAUGUGCCCAGAUGGGAUUAGCUAGUAGGUGGGGUAACGGCUCACCUAGGCGACGAUCCCUAGCUGGUCUGAGAGGAUGACCAGCCACACUGGAACUGAGACACGGUCCAGACUCCUACGGGAGGCAGCAGUGGGGAAUAUUGCACAAUGGGCGCAAGCCUGAUGCAGCCAUGCCGCGUGUAUGAAGAAGGCCUUCGGGUUGAAAAGUACUUUCAGCGGGGAGGAAGGGAGUAAAGUUAAUACCUUUGCUCAUUGACGUUACCCGCAGAAGAAGCACCGGCUAACUCCGUG